GCCCAGGAGCCCGUAGCCGAGGCCUGCUGCCAGGAUCUGGGUGGUCAUGGCCACCCAGGUGACCACGCCGCUGUACUGCAGACUUAUAAAAGAAGUAGAACACACAUGCUUCCCAUUAGGUGAGAAAGAAACAUGCCUGAGAGUCUAAUGGAUUACUCAAGUCUGUGCUGCCAAGGAAGAACAGAAUCUUUAGGUCUUCUGUGCAAAGUUGUGUCCACCCCCAAAGUCUGAAGUGGCUCCAUUCACAAACUUACAUGGAAUUUGGACUUGGCCAUCUUUCCUUUCAAGAAUAUAUGAUAAAAUCAUGCUUCCCGUUCAAGAGGUUCACUCUGGGUAUAGACGGCAUUUCUGAAAACAUGGCAUUGACUGACAUUAUUGACAGUGGACUGGGAAUGGAAAGAUCAGAGUUCUUUGCAUGGCUGAGCAUCUUACUUUUCCUUGAUCUUGGGAAGGAAGGCGCCUUCUCUGAUGGAGAUUAUCUGUCAGUGAAACUAGAUUUUUAAGUUGCAGCCCUGGGCUUAUGGUGAAUUGGCAAGCACGUGUGAGAAAGAUCAUGUUGUCUUAAGCAACUUUGAUUCCAAGAGAAGAAGAGUAAUAUGAGUACUCCAGUCCAGUCACCUGAUGAGAGAUUCCUGAAGGGAGAACUUGCAUCUUCAAAGCGUUGGAGGUAGAAGGAAGACAGGCAGAAGGACAUCCCAGAAUCAACCCAGAAUGUGGUGGAAGUGACUGCAUCAACCCUGAGCCGACACACCCAGAAGCCUUGCAGACUUCUACUUCCUGCCUUGGAAUCCUGACAAGCCACUACUUAAGCAAAUGUGAGCUACCCUUUUAGUGGUGGUUACAUGGGAUUAGAUGAGAUACAUGGGGCCCGGAUUCCUGAUUGCCCCACUUGACAGCUGAGAAACACCUGGGAGCAGGGCUGCCCAGCUAACAUCUGCUGACUGCAGAUGAAUGAACAAGCCCAGCCAGAUAGAGAAGAAACAGUCAGCUGGGCCAUAAACAAUGUUUUGUAAUAAUCGUUUAUUUAUAUGGUUUACAUUUUGUUUAACUCUCAUUUUUUAAUGGGAAUAGGACUUUUUUAUUGUGGUAAAAUGUACAUAAUGAAAAUUUACCAUUUUAACUAUUUUAGCUGUACAAUUCAGUGGCAUUCAAUGUUGUGCAAUGCUCACAACUACUUCCAACUUUUUUCAUUAUUCCAAACAGAAACUCUAUGCCAUUAAGCAAUAACUUUUGAUUCUUCCCAUCCCCAGCUCUUGGUAAUCUCGAUUCUACUUUCUGCCUAUAUGAAUUUGCCUAUUUUAGACACCCCACAUAAGUAGAAUCAUACAAUAUUUGUUCUUUUGUAUUUGACUUACUUUACUUGGCAUAUUUUCAAGGUUCAUCAUGUUGUAUUAUGUAUUAGACUUUUAUUUCUACUUAUGGCCGAAUAUCAUCCUGUGGUAGAUAGAUAGAUAUAAAAUAUGGUAAAUAUAUGUAUAUAUAUUAUUUAUCUCUUCAUUUGUUAAUGGACACUUGAGUUGUUUCUACCUUUUGACUACUGUGAAUAACACUGCUAUGAACACUGGUAUAGAACUACCUGAGUGAGUGUCUGCUCAAUUACUCUGGGUAUAUACCUAGACGUUGAAUUGCUGGGUCAAAUAGUUAUUCUAUGUUGAACAUUUUGAAGAUUGCCAAAAUUUUCCAGAGUGACUGCAUCAUUUUAUAUUCUCACCAGCAGUUCACAAAGAUAACAUUUUCUCCACAUCCUUGCCAACACUUGUAAUUUUCUAUUUGUUUGAUAAUAGUCAUGCUAGUGAGUGUGAAGUGGUGAUAUCUCACUGUGGCUUUGAUUUGCAUUUUCCCAAUGACUAAUGAUGUUGAACAUUUUCUUUUUCAUGUGGUUAUUGAUCAUUUGUAUAUCUUCUUUGGAAAAACUGUCUAUUCAAGUCUUUUGCUCACUUUUUGAGUCAUUUCUUUUGUUAUUGAGUCAUAGGAGUUCCUUACAUAUUCUGGAUAUGAAUUUCUUUUCAGAUAUAUGUUUUAAAAAUAUUUUCUGUCAUUUUGUUGGUUUUCUUGAUAGUGUUCUAUCAUUACCAAGUGUCAAUGCUAAUUAAAAAAAAAUUUGAUGAAGUC